ACGUCGUUGGUGUAUCGGUUAGCAUGCAUGCCUUCCAUACCCUAUAUAGCAUGCGGGUCGGGUUCGAUUCCCGAACGGCGUA